rnacentral:rRNA from 1 species
GCUCAGAUUGAACGCUGGCGGCAGGAACACACCUUGCAAGUCGAGCGGAUGAGUGGAGCUUGCUCCCGGAUUCAGCGGCGGACGGGUGAGUAAUGCCUAGGAAUCUGCCUGGUAGUGGGGGAUAACGUUUCGAAAGGAAAGCUAAUACCGCAUACGUCCUACGGGAGAAAGUGGGGGAUCUUCGGACCUCACGCUAUCAGAUGAGCCUAGGUCGGAUUAGCUAGUUGGUGGGGUAAAGGCUCACCUAGGCGACGAUCCGUAACUGGUCUGAGAGGAUGAUCAGUCACACUGGAACUGAGACACGGUCCAGACUCCUACGGGAGGCAGCAGUGGGGAAUAUUGGACAAUGGGCGCAAGCCUGAUCCAGCCAUGCCGCGUGUGUGAAGAAGGUCUUCGGAUUGUAAAGCACUUUCAGUUGGGAGGAAGGGCAGUAAGUUAAUACCUUGCUGUUUUGACGUUACCCACAGAAUAAGCACCGGCUAACUUCGUGCCAGCAGCCGCGGUAAUACGAAGGGUGCAAGCGUUAAUCGGAAUUACUGGGCGUAAAGCGCGCGUAAGUGGUUCAGCAAGAUGGAUGUGAAAUCCCCGGGCUCAACCUGGGAACUGCAUCCAAAACUACUGAGCUAGAGUCCGGUAGAGGGUGGUAGAAUUUCCUGUGUAGCGGUGAAAUGCGUAGAUAUAGGAAGGAACACCAGUGGCGAAGGCGACCACCUGGACUGAUACUGACACUGAGGUGCGAAAGCGUGGGGAGCAAACAGGAUUAGAUACCCUGGUAGUCCACGCCGUAAACGAUGUCGACUAGCCGUUGGGAUCCUUGAGAUCUUAGUGGCGCAGCUAACGCGAUAAGUCGACCGCCUGGGGAGUACGGCCGCAAGGUUAAAACUCAAAUGAAUUGACGGGGGCCCGCACAAGCGGUGGAGCAUGUGGUUUAAUUCGAUGCAACGCGAAGAACCUUACCUGGCCUUGA